rnacentral:rRNA from 1 species
UGCAGUCGAACGAUGAAGCCUUCGGGUGGAUUAGUGGCGAACGGGUGAGUAACACGUGGGCAAUCUGCCCUGUACUUUGGGAUAAGCCUUGGAAACGGGGUCUAAUACCGGAUAUCACAGCUGAUCGCAUGGUUGGUUGUUGAAAGUUCUGGCGGUACAGGAUGAGCCCGCGGCCUAUCAGCUUGUUGGUGGGGUAAUGGCCUACCAAGGCGACGACGGGUAGCCGGCCUGAGAGGGUGACCGGCCACACUGGGACUGAGACACGGCCCAGACUCCUACGGGAGGCAGCAGUGGGGAAUAUUGCACAAUGGGCGCAAGCCUGAUGCAGCGACGCCGCGUGAGGGAUGACGGCCUUCGGGUUGUAAACCUCUUUCGCCAGGGACGAAGCGCAAGUGACGGUACCUGGAUAAGAAGCACCGGCUAACUACGUGCCAGCAGCCGCGGUAAUACGUAGGGUGCGAGCGUUGUCCGGAUUUAUUGGGCGUAAAGAGCUCGUAGGCGGUUUGUCGCGUCGGCCGUGAAAUCUCCACGCUUAACGUGGAGCGUGCGGUCGAUACGGGCAGACUUGAGUUCGGUAGGGGAGACUGGAAUUCCUGGUGUAGCGGUGAAAUGCGCAGAUAUCAGGAGGAACACCGGUGGCGAAGGCGGGUCUCUGGGCCGAUACUGACGCUGAGGAGCGAAAGCGUGGGGAGCGAACAGGAUUAGAUACCCUGGUAGUCCACGCUGUAAACGUUGGGCGCUAGGUGUGGGCGACAUCCACGUUGUCCGUGCCGUAGCUAACGCAUUAAGCGCCCCGCCUGGGGAGUACGGCCGCAAGGCUAAAACUCAAAGGAUUUGACGGGGGCCCGCACAAGCGGCGGAGCAUGUGGAUUAAUUCGAUGCAACGCGAA